rnacentral:rRNA from 1 species
AUUGAACGCUGGCGGCAGGCUUAACACAUGCAAGUCGAGCGGGGAAAGGUAGCUUGCUACCUGACCUAGCGGCGGACGGGUGAGUAAUGCUUAGGAAUCUGCCUAUUAGUGGGGGACAACAUCUCGAAAGGGAUGCUAAUACCGCAUACGUCCUACGGGAGAAAGCCGGGGACCUUCGGGCCUUGCGCUAAUAGAUGAGCCUAAGUCGGAUUAGCUAGUUGGUGGGGUAAAGGCCUACCAAGGCGACGAUCUGUAGCGGGUCUGAGAGGAUGAUCCGCCACACUGGGACUGAGACACGGCCCAGACUCCUACGGGAGGCAGCAGUGGGGAAUAUUGGACAAUGGGGGGAACCCUGAUCCAGCCAUGCCGCGUGUGUGAAGAAGGCCUUUUGGUUGUAAAGCACGUUAAGCGAGGAGGAGGCUACCGAGAUUAAUACUCUUGGAUAGUGGACGUUACUCGCAGAAUAAGCACCGGCUAACUCUGUG